UCAAGAUGUAACGCCAUGGGGUAGGAAGCCUGGAACUAUUCUCCGACUGGAUCCAAAGCCGUUAUCAACAGCUCCGGUCUCUCUGUAAGCGUCUGCUCUCACCAAGGCUCUGGCCACUCCUGUGAUCGCCCUACCUACCUAAGAUGACCAAGUCGGGUUCAGGACCCCUGGCUCUUCGCUAUAAUUGUGAAAAGGUGUUUCCUUCACCGUGAAAUAAUCAUAACAUCACCUGCGUGAGACUUGCUAUGAGUGUAUGUCUGAGUGCCAUGUCUGAGUGUGCAAAGCCCUUGGAGGUCAGAAGAGGACAGUGGAUCAUUCCCCCUGGACUGGGUUUACAGAAGGUUGUGAGCUAUCAUGAAGCCCAGACUAGCAACCAUGAUGGAGAAAAGGGAACACAGGAAAGCCUGACAGGUUCUGAGUGGUCUCUGCAUCUAGAAGUGUUUCCCCCAUCAAGAUGACAGAACCUCAUUCUAUGGCACAUGGGCAGCCAGCAUUUGGACUUGUGCAGUGUGACAUCUAUUUGGGAACACAGCCCCCUGCAACUCUGUGAAAGUCCUAGACACUCUGUCACGCUCCCUCUGGGAGGCCAGUAAGGUGGUCUGGUCCCAAACU